rnacentral:rRNA from 1 species
UAGAGUUUGAUCCUGGCUCAGGAUGAACGCUGGCGGUAUGCCUAAUACAUGCAAGUCGUACGAAAGUUUUUAACUUUAGUGGCGGACGGGUGAGUAACGCGUGAGAAUUUACCUUUAGGAGGGGGAUAACAGCUGGAAACGGUUGCUAAUACCCCAUAUGCUUUCGAGUGAAAUAGAUUUAUCUGCCUGAAGAGAAGCUCGCGUCUGAUUAGCUUGUUGGUGGGGUAAAGGCCUACCAAGGCGACGAUCAGUAUCUGGUUUGAGAGGAUGAUCAGACACACUGGAACUGAGACACGGUCCAGACUCCUACGGGAGGCAGCAGUAGGGAAUUUUCCGCAAUGGGCGAAAGCCUGACGGAGCAAUACCGCGUGAGGGAAGACUGCCUAUGGGUUGUAAACCUCUUUUUUCAGGGAGGAAUUUUGACGUGUACCUGAAGAAUAAGCAUCGGCUAACUCCGUGCCAGCAGCCGCGGUAAGACGGAGGAUGCAAGUGUUAUCCGGAAUCACUGGGCGUAAAGCGUCUGUAGGUGGUUAAACAAGUCAACUGUUAAAUCUUGAAGCUCAACUUCAAAAUCGCAGUC